rnacentral:rRNA from 1 species
GAUGAACGCUGGCGGCGUGCUUAACACAUGCAAGUCGAACGAUGAUGCCCAGCUUGCUGGGUGGAUUAGUGGCGAACGGGUGAGUAACACGUGAGUAACCUGCCCUUGACUCUGGGAUAAGCCUGGGAAGCUGGGUCUAAUACCGGAUACGACCAUCUGGCGCAUGUCAUGGUGGUGGAAAGCUUUUGUGGUUUUGGAUGGACUCGCGGCCUAUCAGCUUGUUGGUGGGGUAAUGGCCUACCAAGGCGACGACGGGUAGCCGGCCUGAGAGGGUGACCGGCCACACUGGGACUGAGACACGGCCCAGACUCCUACGGGAGGCAGCAGUGGGGAAUAUUGCACAAUGGGCGCAAGCCUGAUGCAGCGACGCCGCGUGAGGGAUGACGGCCUUCGGGUUGUAAACCUCUUUCAGUAGGGAAGAAGCGAAAGUGACGGUACCUGCAGAAGAAGCGCCGGCUAACUACGUG